rnacentral:rRNA from 1 species
UUUCGCAAUGCCCGAAAGGGUGAGAAGCGACGCCGCGUGUGGGAAGAAGGCCUUCGGGUUGUAAACCACUGUCGGGAGUUAGGAAAUGCAGGUGCGUUAAUAGCGCACUUGCUUGACUAAGGCUCCAGAGGAAGCCACGGCUAACUCUGUGCCAGCAGCCGCGGUAAUACAGAGGCGGCAAGCGUUGUUCGGAAUUAUUGGGCGUAAAGAGCACGUAGGCGGCCUUGCAAGUCAGUUGUGAAAGCCUUCCGCUUAACGGAAGAACGGCAUCUGAUACUACAGGGCUUGAGUACGGGAGGGGAGAGUGGAACUUCUGGUGGAGCGGUGAAAUGCGUAGAUAUCAGAAGGAACGCCGGCGGCGAAAGCGACUCUCUGGUCCGAAACUGACGCUGAGUGUGCGAAAGCUAGGGGAGCAAACGGGAUUAGAUACCCCGGUAGUCCUAGCCGUAAACGAUGGGCACUAAGUAGAGGGGUUUU